UGAAAAAAAGUAUCCCAUGCCAUGUAAAA
rnacentral:piRNA from 1 species